rnacentral:snRNA from 1 species
GUGCUCGCUUUGGCAGCACAUGUACUAAAAUUGGAAUGAUGCAAAGAAGAUUAGCAUGGCCCCUGCACAAGGAUGACAUGCAAAUUCAUGAAGCGUUCCGUAUUUUU